UUGAAGAAUUUGAAAACUUCAACUUGCAGGCUUAAAGAAUUUGAAGACUUUAACUUGAAGACUUAAAGAAUUUGAAGACUUCAACU
rnacentral:pre_miRNA from 1 species